UACGGAGGAUGCAAGCGUUAUCCGGAUUCAUUGGGUUUAAAGGGUGCGCAGGCGGAGAUAUAAGUCAGUGGUGAAAAACUGCCGCUCAACGGUAGUCUUGCCAUUGAUACUGUUUCUCUUGAGUGUGGUCAAGGCAGGCGGAAUGUGUAAUGUAGCGGUGAAAUGCUUAGAUAUUACACAGAACACCAAUUGCGUAGGCAGCUUACUGAGCCGACACUGACGCUGAGGCACGGAAGCGUGGGGAUCAAACA
rnacentral:rRNA from 1 species